rnacentral:rRNA from 1 species
AAAUUGAAGAGUUUGAUCAUGGCUCAGAUUGAACGCUGGCGGCAGGCCUAACACAUGCAAGUCGAACGGUAACAGGAAACAGCUUGCUGUUUCGCUGACGAGUGGCGGACGGGUGAGUAAUGUCUGGGAAACUGCCCGAUGGAGGGGGAUAACUACUGGAAACGGUAGCUAAUACCGCAUAACGUCGCAAGACCAAAGAGGGGGACCUUCGGGCCUCUUGCUAUCGGAUGUGCC